rnacentral:rRNA from 1 species
GAUGAACGCUGGCGGCGUGCCUAAUACAUGCAAGUCGAGCGAACGGACGAGAAGCUUGCUUCUCUGAUGUUAGCGGCGGACGGGUGAGUAACACGUGGAUAACCUACCUAUAAGACUGGGAUAACUUCGGGAAACCGGAGCUAAUACCGGAUAAUAUUUUGAACCGCAUGGUUCAAAAGUGAAAGACGGUCUUGCUGUCACUUAUAGAUGGAUCCGCGCUGCAUUAGCUAGUUGGUAAGGUAACGGCUUACCAAGGCAACGAUGCAUAGCCGACCUGAGAGGGUGAUCGGCCACCCCGGAACUGAGACACGGUCCAGACUCCUACGGGAGGCAGCAGUAGGGAAUCUUCCGCAAUGGGCGAAAGCCUGACGGAGCAACGCCGCGUGAGUGAUGAAGGUCUUCGGAUCGUAAAACUCUGUUAUUAGGGAAGAACAUAUGUGUAAGUAACUGUGCACAUCUUGACGGUACCUAAUCAGAAAGCCACGGCUAACUACGUG